CACAUGACUCUCGGCAACGGAUAUCUCGGCUCUCGCAUCGAUGAAGAACGUAGCAAAAUGCGAUACCUGGUGUGAAUUGCAGAAUCCCGCGAACCAUCGAGUUUUUGAACGCAAGUUGCGCCCGAGGCCUUCUGGUUGAGGGCACGUCUGCCUGGGCGUCACGC
rnacentral:rRNA from 1 species